rnacentral:rRNA from 1 species
CUCGUAGGUGGUUUGUCGCGUUGUUCGUGAAAACUCACAGCUUAACUGUGGGCGUGCGGGCGAUACGGGCAGACUGGAGUACUGUAGGGGAGACUGGAAUUCCUGGUGUAGCGGUGGAAUGCGCAGAUAUCAGGGGGAACACCGGUGGCGAAGGCGGGUCUCUGGGCAGUAACUGACGCUGAGGAGCGAAAGCGUGGGGAGCGAACA